CAAUAGCGUAUAUUAAAGUUGUUGCGGUUAAAAAGCUCGUAGUUGGAUUUCUGCUGAGGACGACCGGUCCGCCCUCCGGGUGAGCAUCUGGUUCGGCCUUGGCAUCUUCUUGGUGAACGUAUCUGCACUUGACUGUGUGGUGCGGUACCCAGGACUUUUACUUUGAGGAAAUUAGAGUGUUUCUAGCAGGCAGCUCGCUCUUUGCAUAGGUUAGCAUGGGAUAAUUUUAAUAGGACUCUGGUGCUAUUUGUUGGUUUCGAACACCGGAGUAAUGAUUAAAAGGGCAGUCAGGGGCACUCGUAUUCCGUCGAGAGAGGUGAAAUUCUCAGACCAAUGGAAGACGAACCACUGCGAAAGCAUUUGCCAGGGAUGUUUUCACUGAUCAAGAACGAAAGUUAGGGGAUCGAAGACGAUCAGAUACC
rnacentral:rRNA from 1 species